GGGUGCGGAACACGUACGCAACCUUCCUUUAAGUGGGGGAUAGCCCAGGGAAACUUGGAUUAAUACCCCGUAAUACUAUGAAGUGGCAUCACUUUAUAAUUAUAGCUCCGGCGCUUAAAGAUGGGCGUGCGCCUGAUUAGGUAGUUGGCGGGGUAACGGCCCACCAAGCCUUCGAUCAGUAACUGGUGUGAGAGCACGACCAGUCACACGGGCACUGAGACACGGGCCCGACUCCUACGGGAGGCAGCAGUAAGGAAUAUUGGUCAAUGGACGCAAGUCUGAACCAGCCAUGCCGCGUGGAGGAUGAAGGUCCUCUGGAUUGUAAACUUCUUUUAUUUGGGAAGAAACCCACGAUUUCUAUUGUGGUUGACGGUACCAGAUGAAUAAGCACCGGCUAACUCCGUGCCAGCAGCCGCGGUAAUACGGAGGGUGCAAGCGUUAUCCGGAUUCACUGGGUUUAAAGGGUGCGUAGGCGGGCAGGUAAGUCAGUGGUGAAAUCUCCGAGCUUAACUUGGAAACUGCCGUUGAUACUAUCUGUCUUGAAUGCUGUGGAGGUAAGCGGAAUAUGUCAUGUAGCGGUGAAAUGCUUAGAUAUGACAUAGAACACCUAUUGCGAAGGCAGCUUGCUACACAGAAAUUGACGCUGAGGCACGAAAGCGUGGGGAUCAAACAGGAUUAGAUACCCUGGUAGUCCACGCCCUAAACGAUGGAUACUCGACAUCAGCGAUACACAGUUGGUGUCUGAGCGAAAGCAUUAAGU
rnacentral:rRNA from 1 species